rnacentral:rRNA from 1 species
ACAACUUAGUGGCGAACGGGUGAGUAACGCGUGAGAAACCUGCCUUUCAGUGGGGGACAACAGUUGGAAACGACUGCUAAUACCGCAUAAUGUAUCGAGAGGGCAUCCUUUGAUACCAAAGCUUUAUGUGCUGAAAGAUGGGUCUCGCGUCUGAUUAGCUAGUUGCGGGGUAACGGCCCACCAAGGCGACGAUCAGUAGCCGGUCUGAGAGGAUGAACGGCCACAUUGGGACUGAGAUACGGCCCAGACUCCUACGGGAGGCAGCAGUGGGGAAUAUUGGACAAUGGGGGAAACCCUGACCCAGCAACGCCGCGUGAAGGAAGAAGGCCUUCGGGUUGUAAACUUCUUUUACCAGGGACGAACACAAUGACGGUACCUGGAGAAAAAGCAACGGCUAACUACGUG